GUGAAUUGACAUUUUAACAAUUUAGCAAGUUUCUCCUUAUUUUGUCUGCACUAUAAUUGUUUUUUUAUGUUUUAUCUUUGAGGUUUUAUUCCUGCAUAAAAGAGUGAUUCCAACAAUACUGUAGGCAUACAAAAAAGGUUAAAAAAAAGUACAUUUUAAGCAAUUUAAAGAGACACUGUCCUGUUUUAAAUUAUGUACUAUAAGCACUGUAAUUUGCACAUA